GAUGAACGCUGGCGGCGUGCCUAAUACAUGCAAGUCGAGCGAACAGACGAGGAGCUUGCUCCUCUGACGUUAGCGGCGGACGGGUGAGUAACACGUGGAUAACCUACCUAUAAGACUGGGAUAACUUCGGGAAACCGGAGCUAAUACCGGAUAAUAUAUUGAACCGCAUGGUUCAAUAGUGAAAGACGGUUUUGCUGUCACUUAUAGAUGGAUCCGCGCCGCAUUAGCUAGUUGGUAAGGUAACGGCUUACCAAGGCAACGAUGCGUAGCCGACCUGAGAGGGUGGAUCGCCCAACUGGAACUGGGACACGGGCCCAGAUCCUACGGGAAGGCACAAUAAGGAAACUUCCGGCAUGGGGGGAAACCUUGCCGGACAACGCCGCGUUGAUGGAGGAAGUCUUCCGGUCCUAAAAAUCUUGUUUUUAGGGAAAAAAAAAUGUGUAAGUAACUAUGCACGUCUUGACGGUACCUAAUCAGAAAGCCACGGCUAACUACGUG
rnacentral:rRNA from 1 species